UACGGAGGGGGCGAGCGUUAUUCGGAAUUAUUGGGCGUAAAGGGCGCGUAGGCGGCUAGAUGUGUCAAAGGUGAAAUCCCUCGGCUCAACUGAGGAACUGCCUUUGAAACUGUCUGGCUUGAGGCCGGGAGAGGGUAGCGGAAUUCCCAGUGUAGCGGUGAAAUGCGUAGAUAUUGGGAGGAACACCAGUGGCGAAGGCGGCUCCCUGGACCGGUUCUGACGCUGAGGCGCGAAAGCGUGGGUAGCAAACGGG
rnacentral:rRNA from 1 species